AUUGAACGCUGGCGGCAUGCCUUACACAUGCAAGUCGAACGGCAGCACGGGGCAACCUGGUGGCGAGUGGCGAACGGGUGAGUAAUGCAUCGGAACGUACCUUUCAGUGGGGGAUAACGUAGCGAAAGUUACGCUAAUACCGCAUAUUCUGUGAGCAGGAAAGCAGGGGAUCGCAAGACCUUGCGCUGAUUGAGCGGCUGAUGUCAGAUUAGCUAGUUGGUGAGGUAAAGGCUCACCAAGGCGACGAUCUGUAGCGGGUCUGAGAGGAUGAUCCGCCACACUGGAACUGAGACACAGUCCAGACUCCUACGGGAGGCAGCAGUGGGGAAUUUUGGACAAUGGGGGCAACCCUGAUCCAGCCAUGCCGCGUGAGUGAAGAAGGCCUUCGGGUUGUAAAGCUCUUUCGGCCGGGAAGAAAUCGCACGGGCUAAUACCCUGUGUGGAUGACGGUACCGGAAUAAGAAGCACCGGCUAACUACGUGCCAGCCGCCGCAGUAACAC
rnacentral:rRNA from 1 species